UCUAUCGAUUUGCGCUCUGGUAGCAUUUUUCGGCACGGCAGCAUAGAUCGUCAGAACACCGGUAACGUUUAGUUCUAAAAGAUGAUGCAACUCAGACUCUGUUUGGGCCUGGAAAUUCACAAUCACAACCUGUCAGUGAUUCUCAGAGUGGAGCGUCCUCUCUCUGUUUCAAGGACCUGAACACGACCUGCAUACUGGGAGUCUUCACUAAGGUCCUCAGGCUGUGAGGGAUUCUGCCACUGAAGACUACGUUCAGGUCUGAACCAGAAUUUAGAUCUGAUAGUUUCAUAACUGUUGUAAGUACAAGAAAUGUCCACUGAUGAGCCUUUGAAGGCACAGA